CCUACGGGUGGCUGCAGUGGGGAAUAUUGGACAAUGGGGGCAACCCUGAUCCAGCCAUGCCGCGUGUGUGAAGAAGGCCCUCGGGUUGUAAAGCACUUUCAGUGAGGAAGAACGCCUGGUGGUUAAUACCCAUCAGGAAAGACAUCACUCACAGAAGAAGCACCGGCUAACUCCGUGCCAGCAGCCGCGGUAAUACGGAGGGUGCGAGCGUUAAUCGGAAUUACUGGGCGUAAAGCGCGCGUAGGUGGCUUGAUAAGCCGGUUGUGAAAGCCCCGGGCUCAACCUGGGAACGGCAUCCGGAACUGCCAAGCUAGAGUGCAGGAGAGGAAGGUAGAAUUCCCGGUGUAGCGGUGAAAUGCGUAGAGAUCGGGAGGAAUACCAGUGGCGAAGGCGGCCUUCUGGACUGACACUGACACUGAGGUGCGAAAGCGUGGGUAGCAAACAGGAUUAGAUACCCUUGUAGUC
rnacentral:rRNA from 1 species